CCCACGGCGCAGCUCUCUUUGAUUAGCCCACAUUUCAGGAGUCCACCGGCCUUUUCGACUGCCCCGCCAUGGCGUCCGAUCCGGUAGACAUCAAACUGGACCUCGAGAAGGAGUGCCUGGCGAACGAGUGCGCCAAGAAGGUGGGCGCGUACAACGCGUGCCUGGAGCGCAUCAAGACCGUCAGCCCCGAGAAGGAGCCGCACUGCUACAACCAGUACUUUGCCAUCGUGCACUGCGUAGACGUGUGCGUCGACCCGAAGCUGUGGCCGACACUCAAGUAAGUGAGGGGUGUAGCAACGCAGUGAAGCUCGGAGAGGCAGUAGGGCGUGUCGUGCGAGCACGUCCGACGGCAGCUCCACGCGCGCUGUUGUGGGAUAGCGGCUGGCCGGCUGUCGCAUGAUGCCGCCUCCUGCAAAGUGGACAGAAGCCCCCCGCCCCCCGCCUCAAGCGAGCCGCGACCGCUUCGCACGGCUUCUUUCGAGUUCUGGAGGUGCUGACAGAGGUUCACGGGAUGGCGGCAGGGGAGUUGCGAUGUUGCUACGCGGACCCGCCGUCGGAUGAGCACGAUGACCUUUUAAACGUUUGUUUAUGUUUGGCACCCACGUAGUGCCUGAAUGAAAGCGGGGCACUCACAUAGUACAUUGCGUAGUCUAUAGGGAGGAAGAUGGCGCCCAGUUGUGGCGGGGUCUUCCACUUAACGCAG
rnacentral:misc_RNA from 1 species